ACACAGGAAUUAGUCUCUGAACCACACAGUUUUUAGGCCUUAACACUGUACAAAAUUUUUGCAUAAUGCAGUUUUUAACAAUACCCAGCUCCAACUCCGUCUACAUCUGUCUUGGCUGAACCGCCCCUUCUGUCCCUCUCUACAGCUUCCUGGAAGCGUCAGGCACGUGCAUGAACAGCUUAACACAGCAGUGUUUUCAAGCAGGUAACAAUACUACUGGAAAAAAAAAUAGGAAGCUUAAAAUGCAGUAGUUUAUUACAUGCCAUCUUCCAUAUUGUCUUCCUCGUGGUCUGAUUUGGUUUCCAUUUUCCCAUCCUCCGAACUAUCGUCCAUGGAGUGAUCUCCAGUCUCUUCUUCAUCUCGUAUCGUUUCGGGAUCCGUAUCCAUACUUUUAUUUUCACUUUCUUCCUCUUCCUCCUCGAACUCCUCGUCGCCAUCCUGUCUGCCCAGCUUCCCGUAGCCAUCCUCGCCUUCUUUCUCGUGCUCCUUCUCGCUCUCGCCAUCCCUCGGCAUACUCUCCCUCUCC
rnacentral:lncRNA from 1 species